rnacentral:tRNA from 1 species
AGGGUUGUGGCUCAGUGGUAGAGAGAGCGCUUGCCUAGCAUGCAUGAGGCACUGGGUUCGGUCCCCAGCACCACAU